rnacentral:rRNA from 1 species
UACAGAGGGUGCGAGCGUUAAUCGGAAUUACUGGGCGUAAAGCGUGCGUAGACGGUUAUUUAAGUCAGAUGUGAAAGCCCCGGGCUCAACCUGGGAAUUGCAUUUGAGACUGAAUAGCUAGGGUGCGGUAGAGGGAAGCGGAAUUUCCGGUGUAGCGGUGAAAUGCGUAGAUAUCGGAAGGAACAUCAGUGGCGAAAGCGGCUUCCUGGACCAGCACCGACGUCAGGCACGAAAGCGUGGGGAGCAAACAGGA